UUGUGGCUGAUGCCCAGCGGUGCCCAGGGCGCCCGAACUCUGUUUUCACCUCCGCCCAUGCCAUCCUCCACCGCCUGUAAGAGAUUCUUAGGAGCCUCCCCGGCCUUGGGAUUUGACCUGAAGGAGCUUCUGAAGCCGGUUUAAACCAAACAGAGUCAUUUGUCCACGUGUGAAGAUCAGCCGGUCAGGGAAACGUUGUUCUGGACAGAACUACAAAGAGCGAAGAUGUCGUUAAAGCGACGGCUGGUGUCUAUGUUGUUGUGCUGCGUUUACUGCGUGGCCUCGCUCUUCUGCUUACAUCCAGACCGGAACAACUGCUUCUCAGCGGGAACUCGGAAUCUGGUGUCUGUUUUCCAACAACUUUACCAGCGUGUCAUUCGGUUGCUGAGAACAACACUCUGAUUCCAGACUGCUUCCUGUGUUUGAGCCAGUAACCCUGGAUCAAACAUGCAAGUAUGGGUGUCAACUGCAAAGCCUCUGAGAAAGAAAGUAAAACGAAGGAAAUAGAAACAAUGAGAGAGAAACUAUGUGUAACAAACAAUCUUGGACUGCUCAGUUUGCUCUAAAUCAUUCCUUAACGAACCGUUCUUUCUCUCUGCUGCUGCUGAUCCCUGGCUGAUAAAGAAAAUCUAUUUUUCUACUGACAAUCUUAAUAUUGUGAAUGUGUGCCGUGUAACAUUCAAGUAGCUGGAAAAGACACCAACAAUCCUCUUUUAGGUACAUUACUCCUCUGCAAAAAGCAAUGAAACCAGAAAGGUAUGGGUUCUAGUCUGUAAUGUAUGAAGAUGCAGGGGUCACUCCAGUAAUAACUACGAGGUUCCAAGUUAGCUUUGAGUGACUGGAAAAACUGAAUCUGAAUGUUGCUAAGAGGAAACCAUGACAGGUUGGUUGAUGAAGUUAUAAAACAAAAAGGAAAUAAUAAAAGGCCUAGGACAGAAAGUAGGAAUGUAAGAAAAAAGAAAAUGUGUCAGGAAGAAUAUGCUAAAGAGAAAGGAAGGACGUACUAAAAAUCAAAGGAAAGAUGUACGACAGUCUGUCAGAAACAGUAGCUGUUUAAGAGGAACUGAGCAAACCCCAUGUGAUGUUUUCUGAAGAGUGAUUGUGUAGCCUCUUUUGCUCGUUACGGCACCCUGGCGCAAAUGGGUGGAACAUACCGGCCACACCCACCUAAUGUCCAUCACAGUUAGUUAUUUUAGCUUUGGAUGACUUAGUUUAUAUUAACCUAUGAUGCCAAUUAAUAUAAUUACACACUCAUUCUUAUCAAAUAUUUCCAAACAUCCUAAUUUCAAGUGCUGCUACCGAAACAGAGUCUAAAAGAGAUGCUGCCAGAGGUGAAACAAAUACUAGCAGAACUGAGCUGAGACCCCUGGUUCACAACCUGCUGCUACCGGCGUUGAGGGUUGAUUGGCCGCAGUUUCGUACCUAACCCUGCGUUCACACUGAAAGCGUCAUAGGUGUCCGGCUGCCAUUCAUUGUCUAUGAAAACGCGCGUCGAGAAGCGGCGGGAGCAGCCGGAGCGUCGCGUCAAUUUGAAGUUGAAAAAUCUGAACUUUAUGCAAAUAAGCAGCGGCGACGCCGAGGCGGCGUCCAAUCCCAGACCGGGAUUCCCGAAGCGAGAAGCCUCAAUGCUGAUUGUACAUUCAUGUACUCACAAACGUACACUCAUUCACAUGCACACAUGAGAGGAGCUGUGCACUAACAAACUUAUUUUAUCAGGAAUUAAUAUAUUUCAUCCAGCAAAAUGACAUUUUUGCUGAAUUGACUGUCAUUUUACCUGAACUGAUCACGUGAAACACGUAUCUGAUGGUUGAGGAGCUGGAUGGUCCCAACGAUUUUAUUUGCUACAUUGAUCCAACAAAAAAUAAUUAAAAACCGUGCUUAUUAAUCACAAAACACAGGUUAAUAAAUCAUCAUGACCAAAUCCACUCCGACCCGGUGUGUAGUAAUCAGCGCAGACAGACUGCAGCUUCGCCUGAAUUAUGGUUCCGCAUUAAAUCGACAGCGUAGCCGACGGCGUAGUACGGUGUGCGUCGCCGCGUACCCUACGCCGUUGGGUCUGCGUUGGUGUGACGCGGAACCAUAAAUCAGCCUAGGCGGAUUUAUGGUUCACCAGGAGUGGGCUCUGUCGGUUGAUGUUGAUCCACGGACCAAACUUGUUAAGGAGCAUCAAACUCACUCCUAUCUACGCGGAAAUAACGCUAAAAUAUAAAGAAGGCGUCCCAAAGUGUGAUUUAUGGUGAAAUAGGAAACUGAAGAUGUGCACAGUGUUGCCAACUCCUCAGUAAGGAAAGUAGCUAUUGGCUGUCCCGAAAGUCGCUAGAAGUCGCUAAAUGACGUCAUCGCCUAAUCUGCAUAAUUGGCUAUUUGCAUAUAACUGUAAUGGACGCUGUAGGAGAGAGGAAUAACGUUGUGGGAGAGACAAAAGUGAGUAAAAAACACCCUAAAUAUGUUUAGAACUACAAAUGUACAAAAAUAAUUUCAACAUUAACAACAUUUAAUGAUUUUAAUGCUUUGUCUAGAUCCACAUUACACACAUCAGGUUUGUCCUGUAUUGUUAAAUGUUAUAACAGCAAAUUUAAUCAAAAGAUUGUUAUGUAGGGUGAAAUUGCUAGCUCUACAACCAACCCUCCUCCUUUAUCCGGGCUUGGGACCAGCAAAGUGACCCAAAAGAAUAAAGAAACGUUUACAUUUACAUCCCGCUCUGCAAGCCAGCGGCGGCUUUGCGCAAGCGCAUUUCAUUUGCAGUCUGGACGUGGAGUGGUGAGGGUCUCGUCUCUGCUCUGCUCUGCCCACCAGAUAAGUCUCCAAUAACACCAGAAAAAGUCGCUAGAUUUGUCGCUAGUCGCUUUUUUGAAAAAAAAGUCGCUAUAGGGGUCUGAAAAGUCACUAAAUCUAGCGACAAAGUCACUAAGUUGGCAACACUGGAUGUGCAGCUAUAUGAGUAGGCUCUUCCCACUGUUCCCUUGAGUUCUGCAGCGAGGCUUUAGCCCGGCCCACUGCAGGCGUCCACAGUACAUGCCGCUUUCAGUGUGAACGCUCCAAACAGCGAGAUGCUGGCGUCAGGAGAUUUUUGACGCUUUCAGUGUGAACGCAGGAUUACAGGUUAAGUCUUUAUUCACUACUCAAAGCUAUGCUCAGAAUUCAGUACGGUGCUAAGUUGCAGAAGUGACGACAGCUAGCCCUAGUCUGUACCAGCUGCCAGUAAAAUAGAGAUCAGUGUGGACUGACUCACUUUUGGAGCCAUCCCCUAAAGGUCAGAUGAGGAAGUGCCAUUUUUCCUACUUCGUGUUUGGCCUCAACUCAGAAGUAAGAAUGCUGGUGGUUGGUCAGAAAUGUUGUGGUUGGUGGAGGACUCCAAUGCAGUCUCACAGGAAGAUUGAGGGGAAUAUUGAAAUCAAGUCAUUUGCAAAAAGUGUAAUAUGUCACACACUGAAAGUGCUGCAGUGGCACAGCCUAGAAAUCUAGAUGCACCGCUAGCAAAUUUCAAUUUUGCUCUGCAGGUACAUCUUUCAGGAUGUGGGUCUGAUCUAUCAGGCGAGCAGUGCCAUGUGAUUGAAAAAAUAAAUAAAUAAAAUAAAAAAUUAUCUCAUUUUUUUGUGAAGCUGUUUAAAGGAUGACAGGUGCAAUAAAAAUGUUGGGUCAUAUGAGGUUGUUAAAAUGCUUAAAAUCUAACUCUGAAUGUGUGUUGUAAAAGUGAGGGAGGUAGGUGAAUGAGUAGAAGUCGAUUGAUUAAAUAUCACAUAUAUAUGACAUGUAUAAGGUAAGUUUUCUUUUGGUGCAGAUAUGAACCCAUUACAACUGAUCCUGUUAGAAGCUGGAAUUUAUGUAAUAUGCUCUGUUGAAGAUUUUGAGUGAAAGUAGUGACCACAAAUAUGCUUUUGUUCGUAAUAUUAAAUAAUUCAGCCUCCAUUGUCUGUGCUGCCUGAAAAGUUUUAGUACAAUCUCCACUGGACAAGUUUUAUUUUUAAAACUUUUGUAUGAAACAGAGUAUUACAUGCUCCAAAAUUAAGUUUCAAUAGAAUUGUGCUUUUUUUGUUUGUUUGUUUUAACAGGUUGUUUUGUUUCUACUUAUUCAAGACAUGAAAAAUGUGAAUGCUCUAGUUCAGGGGUCGGCAACCCGCGGCUCUAGAGCCGCAUGCUCUUUAGCGCCGCCCUAGUGGCUCCUGGAGCUUUUAAAAAAAUGUUUGACCUUUUUUCCCUUUUUUUCCCCUUUUUUCUUCUUUUUUUUCUCUUUUUUCCUUUUCUUUCUUCUUUUUUCUUACUUUUUCCUUUCCUUUUUAAUCUCGAUAUUUCGACUUUUUUCUCAAAAUUUCGACUUUUUUCUCAAUAUUUAGAUUUCUUUCUCGACAUUUUGACAUUUUCUCUCGACAUUUUGAGUUUUUUCUCAA